rnacentral:lncRNA from 1 species
GCGGGCCACCGGGUCCGGGUCGCCACCGGGGCUGGGUCAGUCGGUACCUUCAUGAAGGUCUCUACCGCGCCUUUGGCCGUGUCCAGAUCAUAAUAGUGAUACUGAGAACAACAACAAAAUUAACAAGCAUAAAAUUGGAUAUGAAAUUGCACAAACAAGGUUGCGAUUGCUGCAAGGCUUUUUUUUUUUUUUUUUUUUUGCCAGGCUUUCCUGUAUGACUCGGAACUGUUUGCAAUCACCUCCUCCCUUUCCAGGAGAUAUGGAGCAAAUGGAUGGAGCUAGAAAAUACGUCAUCUUGAGCAAGGUAACCCAGACCAAAAGACAAGUAUGCUCUGGGGCUCACACGUGUUAGCUGAGGACCUGCCACUGAGCCCUCAGCCUCAGAUACUGUUAACUAAGGCACAGCAGAGGUAAAGGUGAAGUGUUUUCCUAAGGCUCUAAGGUGGCCCAGGCUCCAGUGAAAGUUUUGAGGGAGGGAAAGUGGUCUCCCCACUUCAUGAAGUCAGAGCAGAUCACACCUACAACGAGGAGAACACAAUUUGGAUGAAGAGAAAACAAGAACAAAAGCUGUCACAGAGAGCUAAGGGGAGUGACUGCAAAGUGUGGAGCCAGUGACUUGGCCACACUUUGAUGAAGUGGCUGCAGGUCUUCUCUUCAUGGUUUACACAAGCCAUUAGAGCAUCUUCUCGCGGAAACCAUUUGACUCUGCAGUGUUGCUGCUUUGAGCUGUCAGAGGAUGGAAAGUGGUCCCUGCAAUGAGAACAGGGUCUGCUACGGAGACACAGAAAGCUCUUAAAGCAUUUGGUCACCUUAGGGUGUGACAUUAUCUAUUAUUGCUUUGAAAAGACUACAGUAGCUGUUCUGUGGGUGGCUUGGAAAGAACAAGGCUGGACCAGCGAGAAACUC